rnacentral:rRNA from 2 species
UGGUGGGUAGUUUGACUGGGGCGGUCUCCUCCUAAAGAGUAACGGAGGAGCACGAAGGUUGGCUAAUCCUGGUCGGACAUCAGGAGGUUAGUGCAAUGGCAUAAGCCAGCUUGACUGCGAGCGUGACGGCGCGAGCAGGUGCGAAAGCAGGUCAUAGUGAUCCGGUGGUUCUGAAUGGAAGGGCCAUCGCUCAACGGAUAAAAGGUACUCCGGGGAUAACAGGCUGAUACCGCCCAAGAGUUCAUAUCGACGGCGGUGUUUGGCACCUCGAUGUCGGCUCAUCACAUCCUGGGGCUGAAGUAGGUCCCAAGGGUAUGGCUGUUCGCCAUUUAAAGUGGUACGCGAGCUGGGUUUAGAACGUCGUGAGACAGUUCGGUCCCUAUCUGCCGUGGGCGCUGGAGAACUGAGGGGGGCUGCUCCUAGUACGAGAGGACCGGAGUGGACGCAUCACUGGUGUUCGGGUUGUCAUGCCAAUGGCACUGCCCGGUAGCUAAAUGCGGAAGAGAUAAGUGCUGAAAGCAUCUAAGCACGAAACUUGCCCCGAGAUGAGUUCUCCCUGAGACUUUAGGUCUCCUGAAGGAACGUUGAAGACGACGACGU